rnacentral:lncRNA from 1 species
GGGGGGUGUUUAGUGGAGUGAAGUAAUGAAACCUCCACGGAGGAGUCCUAGAUCGGCAUGGUGCGGUAGGGGAUCUAAGCCAGUUGUUUCGAGAUGGGGUUCGGGAACGAUGAGGCUUUGGCUCCGCACGCCGAUGCUGUACUCACCGUUGGUCCUUUUUCUUCUCUUGCAAGUUGUUCUGCUAUGAUCCCUCAUUGAGGUUCUCUUCC